CAUCACCAGUACUAUACACUGCCUUCCAACUCAAGCAUAAUUAAUAACCAGAGCAGCUCAUAAGAAACCUCUGGUCAGGAUUGGCUGACACUACACUCCAGUGCUUUCUUUGACUGAAGUAGAAUUUGCUGUUUAGUUUGCAGACCUCGGAACUCCUCUGGGGCCCCCAAGUCGCCUUCAUCACACAGGAAAUUUGGGGUUCAGCAUGGUCUCCAGCCCUUUGUUGCUAUUUGCAGACAUUCUCACCUUCUGUUUGCAGCUGCUCAAAGUUCACCUGAGUGACAGAUUCUUUAGCAACAAUGUUCCUGAGAGGCUGGUGCCCUCUGAGAUAGAGUCUGCAAGACACCAGCUCCUGGUGAAUGCCGAGGCGGUGGCCCCGUUCCUGAUGCCCACAUGGUGCCCUGUGCCUGUUCUUCCUUCAGCAGUAAGUCAUCACGGGGGGACUGGCCGGCUUCCUUGGGCAGCAAGAGUAGCUCUGAUAGAAAUAGAUUCUCCACUGGACAGAAAUGCGAAUGUCUCACUCUUCCUAAGUAGCAUCAUUAAUCAUCCUCCAGUGUCAACAACCCAGAAAUGUUCAACAGCCUGAGAACAUCCUUUCUCAGCCAAGAGUUCCACACUUGGAGAGGAGUGCUGUCAGUCAGGUUAAGACUACGAUACCACUGCCAGCAGGGGUCUGGGUUUGAUCUCCGGCCUGGGAAGUUCUGCCUGCCGCAAGGUUCGGCCAAAAACAAACCAAGAAGGGCAGAGAGGGGUGGGUAUAUCUGAAGUCCUCUGAAACCUUCAUAACAGCAUGAGCAGCAGCCAGCUGAGAGAUACAAAGGUUUACUGGCUGUGACCUCUCUUCUUGAGCAGGGCCAGGU
ensembl:lncRNA